AGACGUUCUCUCUGGCUGGAUUUGCAUCGGCUCACUUUUCACGCUGCUUCCGUAGUGAGCGGUUGGCGCCGUGUUGGGCGUGCGGUACUGUGGCGUUUUUGCGUGAGCUCAAUCCGUUUCCAUCGCUUGAAGUAUGAAUUGUGGACAUGUGGCUGUUCAACGUGGCUACAUCGUGACACCACGUGUACUCGUGUACCCGGCAGCACGGCGGUUGAAGAUGACGCCGAUUGACUCCGCCGGCAUUAGCUGAACCAAUGGCUGAACGCUCUGAUCAGGAGUGUGCAAUGAGCUGUGCUUCUGCAUUUAAAAAAUAACAAAAUGUCCGCAUGAGCACUGGUGGAUGCUUCUCAUUGACCCCUCUGAGAGGUUUGCUUGAAAUGCCCAUGCAAUGUUACAACAAAGGGUGAACGUGAGCACUGGUGGAUGAGUGAAGCAUCAUUGUCCCAUUGAAAGGUUUGUUGAUAUAUUGCCACCAGAGUUUCUUUAUGUAUAUGUAUGAUGAUUAAGUCCUUUCACACUUUUACUUGGUGAAAUAUACUUGCCCUCUCUGAUUCCCAAGUUCUCUCAAGAAUUUGGAAAGUCCAUUGCUAUCAGUAAACACUCUCCCCUGUUCCAGGUGUGCCCUUGCAGCGUUAAAACAACAAAGGGUGAACAUCAGCACUGGUGGACGAGUCUAAAGCAUCAUUGUCCCAUUGAAAGGUUUUUCUGAAAUGCCCAUGCAGUCUUGGCAGCUCUCUCGUGGGAAAAGGUGUUCUGCUGUAGCUCAUCUGCUUUAGAGUCAUGCCCCAGCUGCGGUUAAUGACUACGGCAAGCACUGCGGUUGAUGUGUGAACGACAGUUGGACAAGGAGAAAACCCGCCACAUUUUUCGGUGUGCACAGAUCUUUAGAGAACACUUCACUCAGAAUAAAAGAUUCGCAUUAAA